UAUUGCACAAUGGGGGAAACCCUGAUGCAGGGACGCCGCGUGAGUGAAGAAGUAUUUCGGUAUGCAAAGCUCUAUCAGCAGGGAAGAAAAUGACGGUACCUGAUUAAGAGUCCAGGGCUAACUACGUGAUAGCAGCCGCGGUAAUACGUAGGGGGCAAGCGUUAUCCGGAUUUACUGGGUGUAAAGGGAGCGUAGACGGCAGCACAAGUCUGGAGUGAAAUGCCGGGGCUUAACCCCGGAACUGCUUUGGAAACUGUGCAGCUAGAGUGCAGGAGAGGUAAGUGGAAUUCCUAGUGUAGCGGUGAAAUGCGUAGAUAUUAGGAGGAACACCAGUGGCGAAGGCGGCUUACUGGACUGUAACUGACGCUGAGGCUCGAAAGCGUGGGGAGCAAACAGG
rnacentral:rRNA from 1 species